GACGAACGCUGGCGGCGUGCUUAACACAUGCAAGUCGAACGGAAAGGCCCUGCUUUUGUGGGGUGCUCGAGUGGCGAACGGGUGAGUAACACGUGAGUAACCUGCCCUUGACUUUGGGAUAACUUCAGGAAACUGGGGCUAAUACCGGAUAGGAGCUCCUGCUGCAUGGUGGGGGUUGGAAAGUUUCGGCGGUUGGGGAUGGACUCGCGGCUUAUCAGCUUGUUGGUGGGGUAGUGGCUUACCAAGGCUUUGACGGGUAGCCGGCCUGAGAGGGUGACCGGCCACAUUGGGACUGGGAUACGGCCCAGACCCCUACGGGGGGCAGCGGUGGGGAAUAUUGCAAAAUGGGCGGAAGCCUGAUGCAGCAACGCCGGGUGGGGGAUGACGGCCUUCGGGUUGUAACCCGCUUUCCCCUGUGACGAAGGGUGAGUGACGGUAAUGGGUAAAGAAGCACCGGCUAACUACGU
rnacentral:rRNA from 1 species